rnacentral:rRNA from 1 species
GACGAACGCUGGCGGCGUGCCUAACACAUGCAAGUCGAGCGGAGACAGCGGAAGAGCAAUCUGAGUCUGUCUGAGCGGCGGACGGGUGAGUAACGCGUGAGCAACCUGCCUUCCACAGGGGGAUAACGUACCGAAAGGUACACUAAUACCGCAUGAGACCACGGUACCGAUGGUACAGGGGUCAAAGGAGGAAUCCGGUGGGAGAUGGGCUCGCGUCCGAUUAGGUAGUUGGCGGGGUAAUGGCCCACCAAGCCUAUGAUCGGUAGCCGGCCUGAGAGGGUGAACGGCCACAUUGGAACUGAGAGACGGUCCAAACUCCUACGGGAGGCAGCAGUGGGGAAUAUUGGGCAAUGGGGGGAACCCUGACCCAGCAACGCCGCGUGAGGGAAGAAGGUUUUCGGAUUGUAAACCUCUGUUCUUGGAGAAGAGUGUAAGACGGUAUCCAAGGAGGAAGCCCCGGCUAACUACGUG